GAUGAAGAACGUAGCGAAAUGCGAUAAGUAAUGUGAAUUGCAGAAUUCAGUGAAUCAUCGAAUCUUUGAACGCACAUUGCGCCCGCCAGUAUUCUGGCGGGCAUGCCUGUUCGAGCGUCAUUUCAACCAUCAAGCCCCCGGGCUUGUGUUGGGGACCUGCGGCUGCCGCAGGCCCUGAAAAGCAGUGGCGGGCUCGCUGUCACACCGAGCGUAGUAGAUUUUAUCUCGCUCUGGGCGUGCUGCGGGUUCCGGCCGUUAAACCACCCUUUUAACCCAAGGUUGACCUCGGAUCAGGUAGGAAGACCCGCUGAACUUAAGCAUAUCAUAGCGGAGGA
rnacentral:misc_RNA from 1 species